UGGGGAAUUUUGGACAAUGGGCGCAAGCCUGAUCCAGCCAUGCCGCGUGUCUGAAGAAGGCCUUCGGGUUGUAAAGGACUUUUGUCAGGGAAGAAAAGGAUAGGGUUAAUACCCCUGUCUGAUGACGGUACCUGAAGAAUAAGCACCGGCUAACUACGUGCCAGCAGCCGCGGUAAUACGUAGGGUGCGAGCGUUAAUCGGAAUUACUGGGCGUAAAGCGGGCGCAGACGGUUACUUAAGCAGGAUGUGAAAUCCCCGGGCUCAACCUGGGAACUGCGUUCUGAACUGGGUGACUAGAGUGUGUCAGAGGGAGGUAGAAUUCCACGUGUAGCAGUGAAAUGCGUAGAGAUGUGGAGGAAUACCGAUGGCGAAGGCAGCCUCCUGGGAUAACACUGACGUUCAUGCCCGAAAACGUGGGUAGCAAACAGGAUUAGAUACCCUGGUAGUCCACGCCCUAAACGAUGUCGAUUAGCUGUUGGGCAGCUUGACUGCUUAGUAGCGAAGCUAACGCGUGAAAUCGACCGCCUGGGGGAGUACGGUCGCAAGAUU
rnacentral:rRNA from 1 species